AUCCAACUGGACAAAGUCUUAUGAUCUGCGACAUCAUUGGAGAAUGCUAUAAUAAUCAGAGAUUGCAGAACGAACAAGGACUAGAAACCGGAGGAUGCCACUUCGGGCAUUGUUAAGAUAUUUAUUACAAAACGAACAAGUUGUCCAAAAGCUAUCAGAGAGCUAUCCAAUCCGUAGAGCAGCUCAAAUGACAGCUUAUGUAUUUCACAGGGGAAAAGACCUUGGCCAUGAAGGUUUAGAAAAGCUACAAGAGGCAGACAUCAUAAAUAAAAUGCGUGACGAAGCUAGUAAAACAGGACAGAAAUUAGGCUCAAUGAAAGAAAGUUUUACUAAAGAUGUUAAAGACGGAUUUAAAGAAAUUAAUGAACAAUAUAAAAAGAAUGAUAAAUGAUAUUUCUUGUGUAUAUUCAUUGUAAAUAUUACGACCCGAAGAAUGAUUAUGAUAGUUAUUUAUGACAGUUCAAAUUUUGUGCGAAUGUAUAUUUUAUAUAAUAAACUAUAAUUGAUUUUUUAACGAAAUUUC